CCAGACAUGUGGAAAACAUGAGCUGGGGGUGGCUGCAGUGGGGGCAUAGGCUGGCACUGCCACAGUGCCCCCCUCAUACCUGCCCACCCCUGGGAAUCCUAAGGCUGCUAGGGGGCUCACAGUCCUUUGUCCCCUCACCUGGGAGCUUUGUGACUCCACCUUCCUGCCAUCCACUUUCAGUGGCUCCAACUCCUCCUUCAGGGGAGCCCAUCCCUUGUUUUCCCAGCCUGGGUCUGCUGAAGCUUUGUGGGAUGUGCUGGGAUUCUGAGGAGCUGCUCCUCCACGUGCUGCCCACCCCUUGCCCUUCCCGUGGCCCUGCUCCCAGAGGUGUUUGCCCCAUCCCCACACCCCACCCAGCUGCACCAGUCUCAGGGUUGGUGUUCCUGCUCCCAGGAAAGGGGGCAGCCCGAGGGAAAGGUUCAGCACUGGUUCUGUUGGGAGCAGCACCACGGAGAAGCCGGCAGCUCUUGGAAGUGGAGUGUUGGAGGAACAAGAGAGCAUCUGGAUGGGAGUGAAAACCAGUCCUGAGAGCUUCCUGCUGGUUCAGUCUUGGGGACCAAGGAGAUCAUCCUCCCUCAUCCCUCUCUCCUGUGAGCCAGACAUCCCACUCUGCUGGCCUGAUCCUCACAGCAGCAAGCAGCAGUGACUUCAGACCCCAGGGAUAAGGACACCUGAGGGCAGGUGGCACCACUCGACACAUCGCUGGGUUUGUGCCCCUUGGAAAGACAAGAGCUGCAGCGGGAGAUCCACCAGGGCAAGCAGUACUUCAGGCUGCCAAACACUGCUUUCCUGGACACCAGCAGGCCCAUCCCUGCUUCUUCCUGGGGACUGCAGCUCAGGGACUGAGUUUCAUCCCUGCCUGGCCACUCAGCAUUACAGCAUGGAGUGUGUUACACCAGUUCUGAACAUCUCCCGACGGAUCUGAGCUGGUCUCAGCAUCCUCUCCUUGGGCAGAGUGAAAAUUGC
rnacentral:lncRNA from 1 species